CCUACGGGUGGCAGCAGUGAGGAAUAUUGGUCAAUGGACGGAAGUCUGAACCAGCCAUGCCGCGUGCAGGAAGACGGCUCUAUGAGUUGUAAACUGCUUUUGUACGAGGGUAAACCUGAAUACGUGUAUUCAGCUGAAAGUACUGUACGAAUAAGGAUCGGCUAACUCCGUGCCAGCAGCCGCGGUAAUACGGAGGAUCCAAGCGUUAUCCGGAUUUAUUGGGUUUAAAGGGUGCGUAGGCGGAUUGAUAAGUUAGAGGUGAAAUGUCCGAGCUUAACUCGGGAAUUGCCUCUAAUACUGUUGGUCUAGAGAGUAGAUGCGGUAGGCGGAAUGUAUGGUGUAGCGGUGAAAUGCUGAGAGAUCAUACAGAACACCGAUUGCGAAGGCAGCUUACCAAUCUAUAUCUGACGUUGAGGCACGAAAGCGUGGGGAGCAAACAGGAUUAGAUACCCGGGUAGUC
rnacentral:rRNA from 1 species